AAAUAAGAAGUAAAAACUUACAUUUAGUUUCGACCUAAAAUUUGGUAUCAUAUACCCUUAUUUA
rnacentral:tRNA from 2 species